rnacentral:tRNA from 1 species
AUUUAUAUAAUAUAAUAAGUAUUUAUAACUUCCAAUUAUAAUGUUUAAAAAUAAAUUUAAUAUAAAUA